rnacentral:lncRNA from 1 species
GGGGCUAAAACUCCCAUUCAUUGUUUACGCACCCUUUCAACUAAAAUUAUUUAGUUACCACAUGUCGCAACUAACAAUUUAUACAAAAUAAUUUGUCGAUAUCUUAUAAGGUUAAUGAAAAUGAGUGAAAAUAAGACAAAUUCAAAAAUUAGAAUAUGACCUUGACCUUUGACCUUGACCUAAUUUUCAUUUGUUUGGACCAAGGACCUCAAAUCAAAAGAUCCUAGGUCUCUAUCACUUAUGGUGUUCCAGUUUAAAAUACAUUUCAAAAUUUCAAAUACAAAAAGGGAAAUAACUCUCAUAUGGAGCGUUCAUAUUGCUUCGGUCGAAAUUGGACAAAUCAUGCGAAGGAUAUAACGAGCAAUUUUAUAAAAUAAAUUUGUCGUAAUCUUUUACGGUUGCGAAGGAGUUGUGAGCACAAGGAAAACAGUGUUUGGGGAGAUAACUCCUACAAAGAAAAGUAUUCGGUUAUGCAGGGUAAAUUUCAAAAGCGCAUAAACUGUUCGAUAUCAUAUACCAAAUAUCUUAGCGACAUAUUGUGAAACAAAUGUUUAUCGCAAGAACAAAAUUUGGCGGAAGAAAAAAAAAAAAAAAAAAAUAAUCAGAAGAAAAACAAUAGGUCUUUCCACAGAAAAGUGGAAAGACCUAAUAAUCAGAAGAAAACCAAUA